rnacentral:rRNA from 1 species
AUGGCGACGGCGACGAGGGCGAAGGACCUGGCGCGGAGGUCGCCGAAGAAGUACGUGGAGGAGGCGCUCUACCGGCGGCUGUUCCGGCGGGGGUCGACGCCGCAGGCGGUGCGCGAGGAGGUGGACGGCUUCCUCGGCAGCCGCAAGCGCGCCUUCAAGUGGGAGGUCGCCGUCUGCGUCCGCCGCCUCCGGCGCCAGGAGCUCUACCGCCCCGCCCUCAAGCUUACUGAAGUUAUGACUAGAAGAGGCAUGAAUCCUACAGUCGGUGAUCAAGCAAUCCGCUUGGAUCUUGUUGCCAAAUCGAGAGGCAUCGCUGCUGCUGAGAAGUACUUCAUGGACCUCCCAGAAACUUCUAAAACACAUCUCACAUAUGGCGCUCUUCUCAACUGUUACUGCAAGGAGUUAAUGACUGAGAAGGCUGAGUCCCUUAUGGAGAAAAUGAAGGAGCUCAACUUUGCUUUCACUGCCAUGUCCUACAACAGCUUAAUGACACUAUACACUAAGGUCAACCAACCUGAAAUGGUGCCCAGCAUCAUCCAGGACAUGAAGGCUGAUGAUGUUCUACCAGAUGUCUAUACUUAUAAUGUCUGGAUGAGGUCACUUGCAGCUCGUCAGGACAUAUUAGGGGUCGAGAGGGUGAUUGAAGAGAUGACAAGGGAUGGCCGUGUUGCUCCUGAUUGGACUACAUACAGUAACCUGGCUUCCAUAUACGUUGAUGCUGGACAGUCUGAGAAGGCAGAAGCCGCUCUUAAGGAGCUAGAGAAGCGCAACACUGGCAAUGAUCUUGAAGCCUACCAGUUCCUCAUUACACUGUAUGGGCGAACACAAAAUUUAGUGGAAGUUCAUCGUGUUUGGCGGUCACUGAAGAGGAAUAAUCCUAGGAAGGCAAACAUGAGCUAUCUUAACAUGAUUCAGGUUCUUGCAAACUUGAAGGAUCUGCCUGCUGCUGAGGCCUGCUUCAAAGAGUGGGAAGCUCGGUACAUCCGUCCACCUAAGACUAAAGCAACUGAUGCUGUGACAACUGAAACUUCUAAGUUGGAAGAAGAAGCUUCAACCGAGGCAUCUAAUAAUGAUUCUGAUGUUAAGGAAACAGAGGACAAGGGAACAGAGGAGCUUGACCUGAAACGUCCUAAAUACGACAUCCGGGUUGCAAAUGCUCUGAUGAAAGCAUAUGUUACAGAGGGUAUGCUUGACAAGGCCAUCGCUCUCAAGAAGCGUGCCAAGAUGCGCGGAGGAAGGCUUAACGCGAAGACGUGGGAGAUUUUCAUGGACCACUAUCUAAAGGUGGGGGAUCUGAAGAAUGCCCAUUGGUGCGCCGACCGUGCAAUCAAGAAGGGACACAGCAGCGGCAGGAUUUGGGUGCCACCACAUGACGUGACCAAGACCUUGAUGGGCUACUUUGAGAAGAAGAAAGACGUGGACGGCGCUGAGAGUUUUGUCGAGGUGCUAAAGAAGGUGCAGAAAGAUCUGGGGACGGUGGUGUUUGAGCCGCUGGUACGGACGUACGCGGCGGCUGGGAAGAAGUUCCCUGGGAUGCGACACCGUCUGAAGAUCGAAAACGUGGAACUCAGCGAGGAAACUGACAAGCUGGUCGAUUCCAUCUGUGUUGAUUGA